rnacentral:rRNA from 1 species
GACAUAGGUCGCAAACGUUAUCCGGAAUUAUUGGGCGUAAAGGAUGCGUAGAUGGUUCAGUAAGUUACUGGUGGGAAAUCGAGGCUCAACCUCGUGGAAGUCAGUAAUACUGCUGAACUUGAGUGCAGGAGAGGUUAACGGAACUCUAUGUGUAGGGGUAAAAUCCAUAGAUAUAUAGAUGAACAUCAAUAUGGCGAAGGCAGUUAACUAUUCUGUUACUGACAUUUGAGGCAUGAAAAGCGUGGGGGAGCAAAAACGG